GCCCGGGUGGCGAAAUGGCAGACGCAAGGGACUUAAAAUCCCUUAACCGAAAGGUUGUGCGGGUUCGACUCCCGCCCCGGGCACCA
rnacentral:tRNA from 2 species